AUUGAACGCUGGCGGCAUGCCCUACACAUGCAAGUCGAACGGCAGCGGGGGAGAAGCUUGCUUUUCCUGCCGGCGAGUGGCGAACGGGUGAGUAAUACAUCGGAACGUGCCCUGUAGUGGGGGAUAACUAGUCGAAAGAUUAGCUAAUACCGCAUACGACCUGAGGGUGAAAGUGGGGGACCGCAAGGCCUCAUGCUAUAGGAGCGGCCGAUGUCUGAUUAGCUAGUUGGUGGGGUAAAGGCCUACCAAGGCGACGAUCAGUAGCUGGUCUGACGGGAAGUUCAGCCACACUGGGACUGGGACACGGCCCAGACUCCUACGGGAGGCAGCAGUGGGGAAUUUUAGACAAUGGGCGAAAGCCUGAUCCAGCAAUGCCGCGUGUGUGAAGAAGGCCUUCGGGUUGUAAAGCACUUUUGUCCGGAAAGAAAUGGCUCUGGUUAAUACCUGGGGUCGAUGACGGUACCGGAAGAAUAAGGACCGGCUAACUACGUGCCAGCCGCCGCCGUAA
rnacentral:rRNA from 1 species